CAUUCCUCUCUCUCUCUCUCUCUCUCUCUCAGAGAAUCAGUCACCACCAAGCCUCACCUCAGCUCACCACAGUCGCUCACCAUUGUUGUUCACCAUACGUCGCAAUUCGCAGCCACCACCGCUGCCGCCGCAAUACAAACAUGUUCCUUCUCUUUGUCCUCCCCUCUCUCUCUCUCUCUCCCUUCCUCAAUUUUCCCAUUUCUGACUCUUGCUCUAGGGUUUUAUAUGAAUAUAUUAUUGACUUUAAUUUAUUGUUCUAGUAACCUACUUCCUCAAUAUCGACAUUGAUUCCAACGCAAAUGACAACAAAGAUUUCAUUCUCGGUUAGGAUUUCUUUUGAUUUCAGUUCCAACUUGUCUUGCCAUGAACAAAUAGUAGAACUUCCCAAAGAAGCUUUUGGAACAGAUGAAAUCACGACACAGAAAACUGUAGGAACUAAAUCUCAAAAGAUUCAUAGUUAUGUUUCACAAUCAGAAGUUGCUUUACGCUGUCGAGUUAUGCCUCAUCCAUUCAUGAAGAAUCCAUGCAUCAAAGAUGCUUCGGAAAUUGAAAUAGAUCCUUUCAGCAAUAGAAGAUCAAAGUGUGCAGCGUCUCAUCAGUGUGGAAAUAAUUAUACUUGGUGCAUCGGUUGAAACUUCCAAGCGUCUCAUCAGUGUGGAAAUAAUUGUACUUGGUGCAUUGGUAGCAGGAUCUCGGGACAUGUCAUUUGACUCCUACAGCUAUGCUAUUGUUUUUAUUUCAAAUAUCUACACAGCAAUAUAUCUUGUUUCUUUAGCUCACAUUGGAAAGUCAAGUGGCCUCAAUAGCUUUGGCCUCAUGUGGUGCAAUGGUAAGAUGGUAGGUCUCCAACAAAAUCACAUCUUUCGAGUUCUAAAUUUUUCUACAGAAAAUAAAAUUUACUAGCCUCAUUAAGCUUAAAUAACUCAGUCCUGCAAUUGUUUGUUUAAUUGAAUUUUUUGAAGGAUUCCUGUGAACCGAUUACCAUGGUAAUUUGUACCAUGCCAAAUUGUCAUUUGGCGUGGUAGUGAAUAUAUUUUUUUGUGUACGGAGGACUUGGUUUUCGUAUGAUUUUCUGUUUUGUAUGGAAUUAUUAUUUUAGAUUGGAAAUACUUACUUUGUAUGGAAUUUGAAAUUAAAAGUUAUUCUUUUUUGGAUGGUUGUAAGUGAAA